CUGUCUUCCUAUCACAAUCCUUCCGUCUCAUUCACUCUUGCGCAGCGCAGCCAUGGCGACGGGCACAGCAGCGGCACCAACACGGGCUUUGUCCCAAAAGGAGUUGGAUAUACAGAUGAUGUUGGCUGCUGAAGUUCACCUCGGCACUAAGAACUGUGACUUCCAGAUGGAACGUUAUGUUUUCAAGCGACGCAAUGAUGGAAUUUAUAUCAUCAAUCUUGGAAAGACAUGGGAGAAACUUCAACUGGCUGCUAGGGUCAUUGUGGCCAUUGAGAACCCACAGGACAUUAUAGUCCAGUCUGCAAGGCCUUAUGGUCAAAGAGCUGUCCUCAAGUUUGCCCAAUACACUGGUGCCCAUGCUAUUGCUGGAAGGCAUACUCCCGGUACAUUCACU
rnacentral:misc_RNA from 1 species